ACUCGGAAAUCAAUGAGUGACGAAUCUGGUGAUGAUUCCUCAGAAGAAGUUCCGUAGAACCAUGGGAUUCGCGGCCUAGUAAAAUUCAAUCUAUAUUUCAAAUCAGCGUAACGGCUUUGGCCUUUUUGGCAUUUGCUAGUUACCUGUUAUGCAUGAUUGUACAAGCAAUUAAAAGUAAAGGAACAACUUAUUUUCAUCCAACAAUAUCAUCAAGUGCAACAUUGUCAACAGCUGUAAAAAAACGAAGGCCAAUGGGUAGAAAAAAACGUGAUGUUGAAAACGGAAACAUUACAACGACCGAGGAAAAUUUAGAAACAGGACUAAAUGCAGAACAAAUCUACUCAUCUCUACUUAUAAUUUCCAACGCUUACGUAAAAUUUAGUGAAAUUGAUAAAUAAAUAAUGAACUCUCA
rnacentral:lncRNA from 1 species